AAUCCAAUCAAGCCUGGCUUGGUAUUGCGCGUCGGGGUCCCCCGCGCCUCAAUUUCACCGGCUGGCCGUCGCCCGUCUUAAGCGUUGUGACACACUUCUCGCUACGGAUGGGACCGGACCACGCCGUCAAAACUCCACGAAUUUCAGUCGAAAUUUGAUUAA
rnacentral:misc_RNA from 1 species